rnacentral:rRNA from 1 species
CCCUACGGGGGGCAGCAGUGGGGAAUAUUGCACAAUGGGGGAAACCCUGAUGCAGCGACGCCGCGUGAGUGAAGAAGUAUUUCGGUAUGUAAAGCUCUAUCAGCAGGGAAGAAAAUGACGGUACCUGACUAAGAAGCCCCGGCUAACUACGUGCCAGCAGCCGCGGUAAUACGGAGGAUGCGAGCGUUAUCCGGAUCUAUUGGGUUUAAAGGGUGCGUAGGCGGGACGGUAAGUCAGCGGUAAAAAUGCGGAGCUCAACUCCGUCGAGCCGUUGAAACUGCCGUUCUUGAGUGAGCGAGAAGUAU